GACGAACGCUGGCGGCGUGCUUAACACAUGCAAGUCGAACGGAAAGGCCCCUUUGGGGGUACUCGAGUGGCGAACGGGGGAGUAACACGUGAGUAACCUGCCCUUUACUUCGGGAUAACUUCGGGAAACUGGGGCUAAUACCGGAUAGGAAUCCUUGCUGCAUGGGGGGGGUGGGAGAGCUUCUGGGGUUUUGGAUGGGUUGGCGGCCUAUAGGCGGGUUGGUGGGGUAGUGGCUUACCGAGGCUUUGACGGGUAGCCGGCCGGAGAGAGUGAGCGGCUACCCUGGGACUGAGAUACGGCCCAGGCGCCUACGGGUGGCAGAAGGGGGGAAUCUUGCACCAUGGGUGCAGGCCUGAUGCAGCAGGCCUGCGUGCGGGAUGGCGGCUUUGGUGUUGAAAACCGGUUUCAGCAGGGGCGAAGGUUGUGGUGACGGUACCUGAAGAAUAAGCACCGGCUAACUACGUG
rnacentral:rRNA from 1 species